ACAAUUCAGGGUAAACCAGGCCAUUAAAUUAAUAAAUAAAUUAAUAAAAAAUCAGAAGAAGCCUGGCAACCCGCAGCUGUGGAAACCAGGAAAUCAGGUAAUGUAUCUGAAGUUGGGCAAAAGGGAUCACACCCUGGAGUCAAAAUGGAUGGGACCAUACUCCAUAGUGGAUCACCUCAGUCCACUCAAGUACUGUAUUAAUAAGAAUGGCACGUUAAAAUGGGUCCACAUGUCACAAAUUAAAUUGUUUGAAUAAAAUUCCCUUUUUAUACCAGUAUGUUUGCACCCUAGGUCACUGAUGCCUUUCAAACACUAGGAUCCCUGGAUGUGGUGCCUGUUUAUCGUUCUCCUCACAGGAUUAUUAGUCGCCGCACUGUGCUGCUGGUAUCCUCCGUGCUGUGGAAGGUCCCUGGAUAAUCCUAACCAGCCUGCCUUACAAAUUCAAUUCUUCGGAAAUUCUAUUGGAUCCCGAAAACAUCCUGAACUUCAAUGCCGACGCCAACCCAACCCAACACCUGAAAGAGCUUGGGAAAGGUAAAACACUUACUGGAACAUCCACAUCCCCACGCAAACACCACUCACAAACAAUUCACACCCCAUGGGCCCCAAUCCAGAAGCCAGCUAUUCGCUUACAUUGGAUACACCUAUCUACAAACCACACUAUAUCUUCCUUUGAAAACACCCAUGUGUAUGUGGGGGAAGGAAACCUUGGGUUGCAGGUCUUCAUAGACGUCCCACCAGGGAGGAAAAAAAAUUGGUUGGUAGGAAUCCGGGUGGAAGGAUAUGUAGGAAACACUACAACAAUCUCCAAGUAUCCCUCUCUGCCCUACAUAUGGUGAGGUCAGGAACACUGGUUACUGUCCUUGUAGUUUAUUGUCCUAGGCAUAUUCAGAAGGUCACGUUCCCAGAUGAAUGCAACUGGGUGUGGAAAAAAAAGCAUUUGUUCAUAAAAAACACUCCAAUAUCGGUACCUAAACCCCAGCUGUUUAAAAUGAAAACCAGCCCUGUGCUAGUCUUGGUUAGCCCCCUCUUGGUAGAAGUUAAAGUAACAAUGAAUUGAACAUGUUUAAAUGUUUCUAAGGUGGAGCCCAAGUGUGCUC
rnacentral:lncRNA from 1 species